GGAGGGGUGGCCGAGCGGUUGAAGGCGCACGAUUGGAAAUCGUGUAUACGUUAAUAGCGUAUCGUGGGUUCGAAUCCCAUCCCCUCCGCCA
rnacentral:tRNA from 1 species